CCUACGGGGGGCUGCAGUGAGGAAUAUUGCGCAAUGGGGGCAACCCUGACGCAGCGACGCCGCGUGAGUGAGGAAGGCCUUCGGGUCGUAAAGCUCUGUCAAAGGGAAAGAAGUGUGCAAUGGCUACUACCUGUUGCAUUUGACGGUACCCUUAAAGGAAGCACCGGCUAACUCCGUGCCAGCAGCCGCGGUAAUACGGACGGUGCAAGCGUUGUUCGGAGGCGCGGGGCCUAAUGGAUGCGCCGGCGGUGAAAGCCCAUGGCUUAACUGUGGAAGUGCAUUUGAAACUGUCAGACUUGAGUAUCAGAGGGGAAAGUGGAAUUCCCGGUGUAGAGGUGAAAUUCGUAGAUAUCGGGAGGAAUACCGGUGGCGAAGGCGACUUUCUGGCUGAAUACUGACGCUGAGGCGCGAAAGCGUGGGGAGCAAACAGGAUUAGAUACCCGGGUAGUC
rnacentral:rRNA from 1 species